rnacentral:lncRNA from 1 species
GGGGGAGGAGCAGGGAGAGUGGGCGAGAAAAAAUUGAGGCGGAGGAAAGAGGCCAUGUCUUCCGCUGUUUCUCCACCCGUUCCAACCACCGUCGAGGGCGGCGCACCUCUCUGCUCCUCUACCUCCACCUGUCGGCCCGUGAUCUACUGGUGCCACGAGUGCGACAUGAGCGUUACCCUCCUCCCCUCCCACCCACCUCUCAUCUGCCCCGAUUGCUCCCGCUCCGACUUCCUCGAAGAAAUGGAACUACUCCAACCCCCCACCGACCAUCAGUCGUCCUCCUCUGCCGCCGCCGACGUCGCUCCCCCUCCCCAAUCCCUGCCCCUCGUCCUC